GUUAUUUAUUUAUUUAUUUAUUUUCGUUUUUAAUAAAUUUGCAAAAAAUUCAAGCAAACUUGUUUCACUUUGUCAUUAUGGGGUAUUUUGUGUAGUAAAGAAAAUAAUUUAAUCCAUUGUGCAAUGAGACUGUAACAUAACAAAAUGUGGAAUAAGCGAAGUGGUGUGAAUAUGUUUUGGAUGCUCUGUAAAACUCAAAACAUCUUUCAGUUUGGUGAAGGUUUGUGGACACCAAAUGUGGACCUUUCAGGUAUUUUCCUUUUAAGGGUUUUACCAAUAUUUAACAGUCACAGUUUAACUACAACUGCUUGUUGCAGUUCGUUAGAUAUAAAGACAAAACAAGACAUUUGAAAAUGUCACCAUCCUUCACAGUUAAAUUAUGGUAAUGGUAAUAAUGGUCUGAUUCAUUGACUGUGAAAAUGAUGAGAAGUUGCAGGCCUGAAAGGUUUAAAGUGACUCAUCACCGACCAUACAUACAUCAGUAACUGAAUGUCUGCUUGGACACAUGGAGCUCACGUCCGUCCAGAAAUGUCAAACAUUUUCUGUUGAAGGAUCAUAAAAAGACAUAAAACAUAAAAACACACAAAUGUUUUAAGACUUCAGCAUUAACUGUUUGAUGCAACUGUUUGAAGCGUCCCCUGGGAAUUGAACUCUAAAACCCUGAUGGUGUUGGCAUCUUGCUUGAGGUUCUCUGUGAUGUAAUGUUCGUAUUGAUCUCCGAAGCCAGUUUCUAUUUAAAGCAUUGUUCUAUAAAAGACCAAAUAAUUGUGAUGCAUUAAUGGAGAAAAAGAACGAGUUAAAAAUCUGUGAUGCCACCACAACAUGAAGCGAGUGGGAACUGGAGGGCGGAACCAGGAGGACAAAACCUACUGCACAAGCUCAGUGGACCACAUGACCAGGAGGUAAACCAAGACAAGUGCCAGGCUGAACAGAUGCCAUCUUUGAGUCCAGUAUGCACUUUUCUCACACAUCUGUGGUGGCAUGUUGUUUUGUUAAACCAUGAGACCGUGUACUUUUUGUUUUGGUAAAUCAAACGGCACCUCUUUGGUAUGAAUAUUAUUUAAUUUAAACAUAAUUAGAGGGGGUUUUAAUGACACUUCAGUCAGGAAAAACUGAAGUAUUUUCAUUGUUUCACUGUUUAGUACCACAGUUCACAUUUUGCCAGUUUUUUCUUUUAUUUUUGUAACUGAAAGUUAAACUUGUCAUUUUUAUUUUUAAAUUACGUAAGUCAGUGUGUCUUCCUCUUCCACAGUGGUAUUCAGAUGCACUACAAUCAGUAUUGUGUAAUGUUGUGUACUGUGUGUUGUAUUAUUCUGAUGUUAGAUUCACCAAGUAUUACAACAUUUAAAGCUGUCAGUUUACCUGUGCCCUUUCAAAAUAAAACCUUUUCCUGUGA